UAGGGAAUCUUCGGCAAUGGGGGGAACCCUGACCGAGCAACGCCGCGUGAUUUAGAAGGCCUUCGGGUUGUAAAAAUCUUUUGUAUAGGAAGAAAAUGACAGUACUAUACGAAUAAGGACCGGCUAAUUACGUGCCAGCAGCCGCGGUAAUACGUAAGGUCCGAGCGUUGUCCGGAAUCAUUGGGCGUAAAGCGAGCGCAGGCGGUUAGAAAAGUCUGAAGUGAAAGGCAGUGGCUCAACCAUUGUAGGCUUUGGAAACUGUUUAACUUGAGUGCAGAAGGGGAGAGUGGAAUUCCAUGUGUAACGGUGAAAUGCGUAGAUAUAUGGAGGAACACCGGUGGCGAAAGCGGCUCUCUGGUCUGUAACUGACGCUGAGGCUCGAAAGCGUGGGGAGCGAACAGG
rnacentral:rRNA from 1 species